rnacentral:rRNA from 1 species
GACACUGAGGCUCGAAAGCGUGGGUAGCAAACAGGAUUAGAUACCCUGGUAGUCCACGCCGUAAACGAUGUCUACUAGUCGUUGGGUCCCUUGAGGACUUAGUGACGCAGCUAACGCAAUAAGUAGACCGCCUGGGGAGUACGGCCGCAAGGUUAAAACUCAAAUGAAUUGACGGGGGCCCGCACAAGCGGUGGAGCAUGUGGUUUAAUUCGAUGCAACGCGAAGAACCUUACCUGGUCUUGACAUACACAGAAUCUUGUAGAGAUACGAGAGUGCCUUCGGGAAUUGUGAUACAGGUGCUGCAUGGCUGUCGUCAGCUCGUGUCGUGAGAUGUUGGGUUAAGUCCCGCAACGAGCGCAACCCUUGUCCUUAGUUGCCAGCAGUUCGGCUGGGCACUCUAAGGAAACUGCCCGUGAUAAGCGGGAGGAAGGUGUGGAUGACGUCAAGUCCUCAUGGCCCUUACGGGUUGGGCUACACACGUGCUACAAUGGCAGUGACAAUGGGUUAAUCCCCAAAAGCUGUCUCAGUUCGGAUUGGGGUCUGCAACUCGACCCCAUGAAGUCGGAAUCGCUAGUAAUCGUGGAACAGCAUGCCACGGUGAAUACGUUCCCGGGCCUUGUACACACCGCCCGUCACACCAUGGGAGUUGGUUCUACCCGACGGCCGUGCGC